rnacentral:rRNA from 1 species
CGCCAGGGAAUUACGAGCACAAGCUUAAAACCCAAAGGAUUUGACGGUGUCCCACCCACCUAGAGGAGCCUGUUCUAUAAUCGAUGACCCUCGAUACACCUCACCAUUUUUUGCCUUAUCAGCCUGUAUACCUCCGUCGCAAACUUACCAUCUGAGUGUUCUAAAGUAAGUUCAACUGGACCCAAUACGCCAACACGUCAGGUCAAGGUGCAGCCUAUAAAAUGGAAAGCAAUGGGCUACAAUCUCUAAGAUAGAACAAACGAAAAACUACAUGAAACAUAGUCAUGAAGGCGGAUUUAGUAGUAAAAGAAGAACAGAGAGCUUCUUUAAACAAGGCCCUGGGACGUGUACAAACCGCCCGUCACCCUCUUCAACAGCACCCCUUUUGUUUCAUAACACUAUAUUAGCACCUUAGAAGAGGCAAGUCGUAACAUGGUAAGUGUACUGGAAAGUGCACUUGGUAA